rnacentral:rRNA from 1 species
CAGUAGCCGCGGGAAUACGAAGGGUGCAAGCGUUAAUCGGAAUUACUGGGCGUAAAGCGUGCGUAGGCGGUGAGUUAAGUCUGCAGUGAAAUCCCCGGGCUCAACCUGGGAAUGGCAAUGGAUACUGGCAAGCUAGAGUGUGUCAGAGGAUGGUGGAAUUCCCGGUGUAGCGGUGAAAUGCGUAGAGAUCGGGAGGAACAUCAGUGGCGAAGGCGGCCAUCUGGGACAACACUGACGCUGAGGCACGAAAGCGUGGGGAGCAAACAGGAUUAGAUACCCGGGUAGUCCCUGUCUCUUAUAC